AACACCACUAUCACUUAAGACCUCCAAUUCCAAGGUACCAACCCUGUUCUAGAUGGACUAGUUGUCCUAUAGUAACGCUGGGUAAGAGCCAACCCUGUAAUCCAAUUUAGGUGCCAACCCUGCAUUAGACGGAGUCGCAGGUCCCAUAGGCGCCAUCCCUAUUAAUGAUGCUGUGUGUGCGGCAAAUAUGUGACAAAUGAUGUAUCAGGGUUUGAUAAUUUUUCGGUUAGUGAUAGGUAAACUUUAAGAAAGAUUAGAUUUUCUCUAUUUCUUUAAUUACUAAUUCAAAAUU